rnacentral:rRNA from 1 species
CACCGCGGUUAUACGAGAGGCCCAAGUUGACAGUCGCCGGCGUAAAGAGUGGUUAAAGAAUAGCUAAAACUAAAGCCGAACACCUUCAAGGCAGUUAUACGCACCCGAAGGCCAGAAGCCCAACUACGAAAGUGGCUUUACCUUUCCUGAACCCACGAGAGCUAUGGUA